CAUGCACAAAUAUUCAAACCAUAAGUUAAAAUGGACAAAAUACCGAUUAGGUCGAUAGGCAGCGCACUAGGUUUUGUAAUUUGUACACAGCCAGGGCGUUUGUCAUAGUUGGUCAUCAUGACUCAUAACUGUUCGUCUUUCAGUUUGAUAUUAGGCUACUGAGAAAAGGGUGAUCGCGAUCAGACGCAGAUUUGUUGCGCAGUUCAUUUGCGCUCUCAACGCCACACACAGUUUCUCUUCCUUUGUCGUUUGCGUUUUUGAUGUGUUCGCAGAUCUGAGUGUUGCUGACUAAAGAAACAGAAAGUGAAGUGAAGCUGCUGUCAGACUGGAGAACAGAGAGACGCAUCUCCACACUCCGCUUGGAUACAGAAGAUCAACGCGGAUAAACGUGCUUGAGGAUGGAGGAGGAAGCUCCAGUCAAGCUGUCAGUGGCUCAGCUAGCUGGAAGACUCAAAGGUCAUGCACUGCCAAUGCCAGGAAACAUGGAGGUGAAAUCUAUGAGAAGACCCCCAUGUUCUCUGGUGAUAAACAACCAAAAAGAUGAAGAACAUGAACAAGAACAGAAGUCAUCCAACUGUCCUCAUCCUCCUAAGAUCAAGAUAAAGAGUUCACCCUUCAUAGAAAAACUUCAGGCCAAUCUUGCUCUCUCUCCAACUGUCCUGCUCUCCCCACCCAAAAGUCCAGAGUCUAAACAGCCACCGACUGCCUCCUGUCCCAUCAGUCCCUGCAGCUCCGUGAGCUCCACCCUGCAGCCCAUUCAGCUGUCCUGUGAAGAUGAGGCGCCGGUUAGCUUUGAGCAGCCGGUCGAGGGCACGCCACUGCCCAACAUCAACAAGAGUCGAGCUAGGCUGUCUUUCAAGCGACGGCUGCCCACACGGCUACACAGGAAGUCAGCAAGUGACGAGACAAAAAUGAAUGAAGGAUAUGACUCUCCAUUUCAACCAGAUACUCAACAGCAGAAUGGGGAUGAAGGGGAAUUGAUUGUUGGGCCUUUUCAGGUGGACACAGAAGAUAAAACAGACUCUGCUCAACCCACCAAUGACCCAAAGCAGGCAAACGACAGGACAGAGCACAGAGAUGUACCCCAAGAAAACGAGAGGACUGAAGUAACCCAUACAGAAAAAGUGGAAGAAGUAACUAGGGGAGGAUUUGAACCUUCUGAUUGUAAACAGGCCCAAGAAGAAGAGAAGGAAGAGGACAGGGCAGAAGUGAAAGACGACAAGGAAGUGCUGGAUGCAGAAAACAGCUCAGAAUAGACGUGAUAGGCUAAAGCUCAUCAAAAUGGAUUAUUUUGCAAGAUACGCAUUGCUUUAGCAAACUAGAAAUGUGAGAAGGUUAUUCCAGACAACAGCCGAAUUAAUGGAGUUUCUAUCAAACAGACUCCAAGAUGGAUGAAGACGGACAGUGUCUGAAUGCCAGGACUGAAUUCUUCUCUUUUAAGAUUGUGGAUUUGGGAACUUAAUAUUGCUAUAGCACAAAGUUUUAGAAGUUAUCAUCACAAUUUACGUUUUGGUGAGUUGGUGGUGAAUUUAUAUGAAUUACAAUCUCAUUUGUACGUCUUCGUAUGACCUGCUUACGCCUCACUGUGAGUUAGGUUUGUGAUGGACCUUCAUGCUUACUUUUCUCUAAAACUCGUUUUCGUAAAAAUCACAUUGUAUUAUUCAUACAAUUUGCCACCAAUUCCACCAAAAUGUAAAAUAGUUAUGUUUUCUCAAGAGGUCGGAUUAGAUUUUAGUUUUGUAGGGUUAUUCAUAUGCCUCGAUUUUCUUGCUUUCUUAUUUUUCAAGUAAACUUAUGUUGGAAACUUUUUGCUGUUCAGAAAAUGAGAGCACUUUCAGCUUUGGAAAGCAUUCUCCUUUUUGAAAGCACUUUUUGAGCCUUUACCCUAUAUGAAUAUUCAUGUUAUUCAGUUUAUGACUUGUAACAAGACAAAUAGCACUGAAAUAAGUGUUUUAAAAUGUCACUCAUGCCUCUGUGACAGGCCUAGGCUCUGUAAAUAGCAAAAAAUGGGGCUGGCCUGCACUUUUUUGGACAAUCGGAAAACUAGCCAAACAGAAACGCUCUUUAGGCGACCUGUCAGUCAUUUUGAGUGUUUGGAUUUGCUGACAUUGGUUUGGCUGUAGGGUGUGUAGUUGAAAUUACAAAAUCAGAAGUCACUAACUGCACUUUUACUUUCUGAUGUUUUCUUUUUGUUAAAUCUUGCAAACAUGGUAAACAAGCUAAAUACAAACAAAAUAGUGGCAGCAAUAUACCAGCAGUCUCUGUUGCUAUGCAAAGAUACUUUAUUAAAUGAAAAAGCCUGGGAUGUAUCACUGUGACUGCAAAGCUACUGUACUGCAAUUACCUUUUAUUAUUCGUAUAAGACUGAAUAAAGAGCUUUAUUUACGCUUACCAGAUGCUUUCCUUUAUUACAUACAAUGGUUUGUAAUGGUUAAUCUUGAGCAAUUAUAGUUUCUCAUAGUUCACUCUGAUCAAUAAAAGUUAUUUUGCAGAAUGGCUUUUUUUCAUUACAAUGAAAGUCAGAAAUCCCAAACAAAAGCUUAAAUAUGAAUAGAUUUUCCAUUUAAAGAUUACAUAUCAAAAUGUCAAUUGGGGCGGGAUGUGGGGAUGUGGUUGCGGGUCUCCCUCGGUAGAAAUCGCGUUCCGGGGGAGGAGAAAUUGGAACACAGGGUCAACGCGAUGUGACCGCAAAGAGCACUUACGCGAUCAAAGGGGCAGGGGUAGGGGUUGUGUAAACAUUUAGAGUUCGACAUUCAGCCACAGUCCUCAAUCUCUGUAAUGCAGUGUGAACACACUUUAAAACCUCAAAACCAAAUUUUGUGUUCCACGGAUGAAAUGCUGUUUUUGAAAUACACUUGGGUUGUCUGUUGGAAUAGUGACUAUGGAAGUAUGAGCGACGCGCUGGAGAAGACUUUUGAAGUUGUCUGUGACAACAAUAACGUCUCGGGUGGCCAAACGAUUGAGUUGAUUCCAGGAAAUGGAGCUUGCACAUACCACGUUGGGUCGGGGACAGAUGAAGUUUCUCAUCUUCUGUCAACACCACAGGUCACUGAGAACAAUAGGGAACAGCACAGUGUAGAUGGAGUUGAUGUCGAAAAUGAUUCUUCAACUGAAACCUCAAAGUGGCGAAGGGAGCUGCAGAGCCUGAAGACAGAACUGAAUGAGGUGGUGGUGUGGAAACUCAAACUAUGGGUGGUGAUACUUCUCAUCUUCUUAGUCAUCACUCUGAUUAUUGGGAUCUCAUUCAUUUUGUGUGCAGUUAUUGAUGAUGAUGGGGAUGAAAAUUAUGACAAAUCAUCAUUCGUGGUGGUACACUUCUUCAAAGGGAAAUUUACUCUGGACAACAGCAGCACUUCAUACUCUCUGGACCAAGAGACACUGUUAGAGCAGCUGGAACAGAAGCUAACAGGAGUCUACAGUUCUUCUCCUGCGUUGGAACGGUACUUCUCUAAUGUCACCAUAAACCAUCUCCAGGACACUACAGCCCAGUUUAAGAUAAAGUUCAUGAUGCCUUCAGAACAUGAGGAGUUGCUACGCUACACUCUGAGUCUAAAGAUGGUUAAAAAUGUGCUUCUCCAACACUUGUAUGAUCAGGACACUGAAGACCCUCUCUAUAUCAUACCAACAUCACUCAGCAUGGUAGUUGGCUAGAUAAGCAGAACUUGAACUACAAGAUUUUUUUUCCCCCCUGAACAAAUGUCUGAAAUCGAACCACUGGUACCCUCAUCAAAAAAAAAAAAAAACAAACAUUCCCCACACCAAAUUAUUUCAUUCGAUUAUCUUUUGUACUCUUCAAUAGAUCUGGUAAUAAUAAUUAUCCAUCAGAUCUGAUAAUAAUAACUAUACAUCAGUAGUUAACAUUUAAUAAUCACUGUGUAUGUAUUGUACACACUAUAUAUGAAAAUAACUUUUUUUUUUAGAUUUUUAACAUUUCAGAACAUUAACUUUUUUUUUCUUUUGCUGUAUUAUUAUUGUAUUGUACAAUAGAUGGAUGUAGCCUACUGUUUAAGGGUAUGGGGUUUUACACUUAUGUCACAGUUUUAAGUCUCAAAAGAUCAUCCUAACAUGGACAUUUACUGUGGAACAAUUCUUUGUACGUGUAUGAGAUUUUUUAAUGUAUUUUUUAAAUAAAAACCUGUUAUGAGGUGCUUUAAUGGAACAA